rnacentral:rRNA from 1 species
AAUCAACGCUGGCGGCGUGCCUCAGACAUGCAAGUCGAACGCGAAAGUCCCCUUCGGGGGACAAGUAGAGUGGCGCACGGGUGAGUAACACGUAGGUAAUCUACCUUCGGAUGGGGAAUAACAACCGGAAACGGUUGCUAAUACCGCAUAAUGCAGCGGCACCUAAUGGUGACAGUUGUUAAAGCGGGGGAUCGAAAGACCCCGCGUCUGAAGAGGAGCCUGCGGCGGAUUAGCUAGUUGGAAGGUAAUGGCUUACCAAGGCGACGAUCCGUAGCCGGCCUGAGAGGGCGGUCGGCCACACUGACACCGGACAUACGGGUCAGACUCCUACGGGAGGCAGCAGUCGGGAAUUUUGGGCAAUGGGCGAAAGCCUGACCCAGCAACGCCGCGUGAA